ACUUGUCGCGUCAUUGUCUUUCGCCACGCAUGUCCGUGUCCCUUGUUGUGGGUAUCUGUAAGUUGCAUGCCUGUGUUUUUUACCUUCGACUAUUAAAGUCCUUUUGUUCCUGCAAGUCUGCAUUUUGAGUCCUGCCUCCCACCCGCACCCGUGACAGAAUCAUACAGCCGUUCAAGAAGCACGUGAGCAAGGACAUUACUUCCUGGGCAUCCUCCUUCUAGGCUGGUGAAGGCAGAUAUUGCUAGCCACAGAGUCAGGUAGGAAAGUCUAAUAUAACCAGCCUAGAAGAAGGAUGCAAAAGUAAGGAUCCUUUCUCAUCUGCUACUACUACAAAACCUAUAAGGUGCCAAAUCAACAAUGCCAGUACAUGCCUGAAAAACUGACCUAUUUUGUUUGUUUUUCUGUUGUGUUCUUAAGUAACCACAACAGAUGGAGUGAUCCGUUGCUAUAAGGAUGUCCUUCGUAUCUUCAAAAAGUGUGGAUCCAUGAAGAAAGCCUUUGCGAAAAUGAAUGUUGAUCGAAACACAAUUGCACGCACAGCUAUAAUUGCUGAGCUAGCAAUUACCUUUCAGGACGCGUUCCAAGGUCUGCUGACAGGUGACGAAGAUCAAAUGAAGAUUUGUGUGCUUGCAGAGCGUUGUCGCGGGGCCAUAAACGAGGAGAUGGCCGAAACCAUCACAGCAUGCAAAAAAAAUGGAAAGCUCCUCCCAAUAAUGUAUAAAUAUACUUAAGAAUAUUCAUUUUGUUCACACUUGUUUACAUUUUGUUAAACAAUUGUUUAAACUUUGUUAAAAAGUUAAUCUAUUUAUAUACACAAUACAUGUAGGAAUUUUGGAAGUUUGUUUUUUCUGCUUCAUCUUAAGAUGAGUGGCAUCACAACAAAAUGUUUUGUGUUGAAAUACAUAAAGGAAAACUAUCUCUUGA